rnacentral:rRNA from 1 species
AUAUAGCAAUUAAAGGAGCAAUUCGCUAUAAGAUGGACCCGCGUCGCAUUAGCUAGUUGGUGAGGUAAUGGCUCACCAAGGCGACGAUGCGUAGCCGACCUGAGAGGGUGAUCGGCCACAUUGGGACUGAGACACGGCCCAGACUCCUACGGGAGGCAGCAUG